UACGUAGGGUGCGAGCGUUAAUCGGAAUUACUGGGCGUAAAGCGUGCGCAGGCGGCUUUGCAAGACAGAUGUGAAAUCCCCGGGCUCAACCUGGGAACUGCAUUUGUGACUGCAAGGCUAGAGUACGGCAGAGGGGGAUGGAAUUCCGCGUGUAGCAGUGAAAUGCGUAGAUAUGCGGAGGAACACCAAUGGCGAAGGCAAUCCACUGGGCCUGUACUGACGCUCAUGCACGAAAGCGUGGGGAGCAAACAGG
rnacentral:rRNA from 1 species